CUUAAGGCCACUCUGUUCUGAGUGGUCUUUCAAAUGUAUUCAAAGAAAAUUUAUUUUUCCA
rnacentral:sRNA from 1 species